UGCAAAAUACGUACUGGCCUGGUCUC
rnacentral:sRNA from 1 species